AUGAGAGCUACAUAUCAGAGAAUUAAGAACAUUUUCUAUUGGCCAGGGUUGAAACAUGAAGUGGAAACAUUUAUAGUUGCAUGUCCUGUUUGCCAGAGAGCAAAACAUGAAAACUGCUUGCAACCAGGCUUACUAGAUCCCCUCCCUGUAGCUGACAUGGCAUGGCAACAUGUGACCAUGGAUUUCAUUGAAGGCCUUCCAAACUCUCAGGGCAAAGAAGUUAUUAUGGUGGUGGUGGACAGAUUUAUCAAAUACUCUCAUUUCAUCCCUCUCCCAUCCAUAUAUUGUUCUGAGUGUAGCUCAAGCUUUUGUUGA
rnacentral:rRNA from 1 species